GAUGAACGCUGGCGGCGUGCCUAAUACAUGCAAGUCGAGCGAACAGACAAGGAGCUUGCUCCUUUGACGUUAGCGGCGGACGGGUGAGUAACACGUGGGUAACCUACCUAUAAGACUGGGAUAACUUCGGGAAACCGGAGCUAAUACCGGAUAAUAUUUCGAACCGCAUGGUUCGAUAGUGAAAGAUGGUUUUGCUAUCACUUAUAGAUGGACCCGCGCCGUAUUAGCUAGUUGGUAAGGUAACGGCUUACCAAGGCGACGAUACGUAGCCGACCUGAGAGGGUGAUCGGCCACACUGGAACUGAGACACGGUCCAGACUCCUACGGGAGGCAGCAGUAGGGAAUCUUCCGCAAUGGGCGAAAGCCUGACGGAGCAACGCCGCGUGAGUGAUGAAGGUCUUCGGAUCGUAAAACUCUGUUAUUAGGGAAGAACAUACGUGUAAGUAACUAUGCACGUCUUGACGGUACCUAAUCAGAAAGCCACGGCUAACUACGUGCCAGCAGCCGCGGUAAUACGUAGGUGGCAAGCGUUAUCCGGAAUUAUUGGGCGUAAAGCGCGCGUAGGCGGUUUUUUAAGUCUGAUGUGAAAGCCCACGGCUCAACCGUGGAGGGUCAUUGGAAACUGGAAAACUUGAGUGCAGAAGAGGAAAGUGGAAUUCCAUGUGUAGCGGUGAAAUGCGCAGAGAUAUGGAGGAACACCAGUGGCGAAGGCGACUUUCUGGUCUGUAACUGACGCUGAUGUGCGAAAGCGUGGGGAUCAAACAGGAUUAGAUACCCUGGUAGUCCACGCCGUAAACGAUGAGUGCUAAGUGUUAGGGGGUUUCCGCCCCUUAGUGCUGCAGCUAACGCAUUAAGCACUCCGCCUGGGGAGUACGACCGCAAGGUUGAAACUCAAAGGAAUUGACGGGGACCCGCACAAGCGGUGGAGCAUGUGGUUUAAUUCGAAGCAACGCGAAGAACCUUACCAAAUCUUGACAUCCCUUGACAACUCUAGAGAUAGAGCCUUCCCCUUCGGGGGACAAAGUGACAGGUGGUGCAUGGUUGUCGUCAGCUCGUGUCGUGAGAUGUUGGGUUAAGUCCCGCAACGAGCGCAACCCUUAAGCUUAGUUGCCAUCAUUAAGUUGGGCACUCUAAGUUGACUGCCGGUGACAAACCGGAGGAAGGUGGGGAUGACGUCAAAUCAUCAUGCCCCUUAUGAUUUGGGCUACACACGUGCUACAAUGGACAAUACAAAGGGCAGCGAAACCGCGAGGUCAAGCAAAUCCCAUAAAGUUGUUCUCAGUUCGGAUUGUAGUCUGCAACUCGACUACAUGAAGCUGGAAUCGCUAGUAAUCGUAGAUCAGCAUGCUACGGUGAAUACGUUCCCGGGUCU
rnacentral:rRNA from 1 species